rnacentral:rRNA from 1 species
AAGCGCUUGAAGUCAGUCGUGUCGGCCAGGGAUCAACCUUGCCUUUUCUCGCUUGGCGUAUUUCCUGGUCGACAGGUCAGCAUCAAUUUUGACCGGUGGACAAAGGUCUUGGGAAUGUGGCAUCCUCGGAUGUGUUAUAGCUCUCGGUCGCAUGCAUCGGUCAGGGUUGAGGAACUCAGCACGCCGAAAAGGCCGGGUCUUCUGACCACGUAUUCGUGCUUAGGAUGCUGACACAAUGGCUUCAAUCGA